AGAGCUGCACUUUUGUUCUUAUCAUCCUAGUGAAAAAGAAAACGCAGUUUGUCACUGCGACUUGUACGAAGAUCUGCUUAUUGGAGAGGAUCAAGUAGGAUGAUCACCAUAUCACUUAUAAUAUCACAUCACGUUAUCGUCACCAAAAGAAUAAAACGUUAAAACACUUACCGAACCCCCCAGGAGUUCUUUCUAGUGGCUUAUUCAAGUCCCAUAACACAACUGCAAGGAGCUUUGAUCAUAAGGUUCCCAAGACAGGUUGUUCACGUAAAAUGAUUUCCUCUACAGAAAUCCAUCCGGAAGUUUCAUGAGGCCCUUCCUAAACUUGCUCAGCAAUCAUUGAAGCCAAGGGCAGAAGCCCCUCAAGAUCUCACCUUCAAAAAAGCCGCAAGAAAGAGAGCGCCGCUCAGCUUUACUACUGCUCCCAGCUUCUCAAAAAAUAUCGCAGUUGAUGAGAUACAUAUCUCCUUCGCUUUUUCCCUUCAAAAUGAGAAGCUAAACGAUGCCUCAAGGAUGACUGACAAGUACCCAGAGGCCAGUGCCAACAGAGUGUGUCUUCUUUGUUCCAAAGUUCCAUUAUUCGGCCACAUUGUGCAAGUCUGGGAUUGAAGGUGAAGAAUAUCAUGCCAGACUGAAGUAAGUGCCUAAAAUCAAUUUCUGUAAGUACAGAGAGUAUCACACACUAGGAGGUUUGUUCCAAGUUGAGAAUCCUACCUCAGACCCUUACCAAAACCCUGUCACAUGCCAGACUAACCAGGCGACUGGCCACAGUCUGGUGUCCACGGACAUGCAACUAGAUGAAUGAAAUGUGAAAACCUGGAUCAAAUUCAAGAUCGAAUGACAAAACUCACCGCCUUAUUGGCGCCUCCAGCAGCAGCAGAGAGAUGAGAAGAAUCACAGGCGCCAAUGGCCAUGUAAACCUAAUCUCUGUGAUCGCUGUGUGCGGUUAUGUUGUUGUAAGAGAUUUGUAAUUUGAGUGGUUUCAAUUCUACCUCUAAGUCCUUUGGUAAAUUCAACCAUGAUCCAGGAAUGUGGAUUUGUCAAUCCAGCUCAGUACUUGGCCACGCCCAAACAGUGCGUAGCUGAGGGCCAUACCGUACACGAAGAACCCUAAAAUAGAGCCGUACGGGUACAAACUAGCGCUCCCGGAGCCUGGCCUGCGAUUUCUCGGCUCUUCCCAUCCUCUUCGCGGCGUUGUCAUACUCCUGGAGCCUUCCCAUGGCGGCCAGCGUUCGUUUCUCCAGCUCCAUCUCCCACUGGCGAAUCUCUCCGCGGGAGAUCGCAGCCUCACGGGCAAUGGCCAGUCGAGAUACCUAGA
rnacentral:lncRNA from 1 species